rnacentral:tRNA from 1 species
GCCAGUGUAGCUUAGCCGGUAGAGCAGCUGAUUCGUAAUCAGCAGGUCGAGGGUUCGAAUCCCUCUGCUGGCU